CUGCUUCAGCAGCACAUAUGCUAAAUUGGAAUGAUAUAGAGAAGAUUAGCAUGGCCUCUGAGCAAGGGUAACACGCAAAUUCAUGAAGCAUUACAUAUUUAA
ensembl:snRNA U6 U6 spliceosomal RNA